rnacentral:rRNA from 1 species
GACGAACGCUGGCGGCGUGCUUAACACAUGCAAGUCGAACGGAAAGGCCCUUCGUUGUACUCGUGCUCGGGUGGCGAACGUGUGACUAACACGUGCUUCCCCUGACCUUGGGUUAAGGAUAGGAUACUGAGACUGAUACUAAUACCGGCUACGAGCUUCUUCUGGUGUGUUGGGAAGGUAUUGUGGUGGGGGAUGGGCCCGCGGCUUAUCAGCUUGUUGGUGGGGUAGUGGUCUACCAAGGCGAAGACGGGUAGCCGGCCUGAGAGGGUGACCGGCCACAUUGGGACUGAGAUACGGCCCAGACUCCUACGGGAGGCAGCAGUGGGGAAUAUUGCACAAUGGGCGGAAGCCUGAUGCAGCAACGCCGCGUGCGGGAUGACGGCCUUCGGGUUGUAAACCGCUUUCAACUGGGACGAAGCGUGAGUGACGGUAACUGGAGAAGAAGCACCGGCUAACUACGUG